rnacentral:rRNA from 1 species
UACAGAGGUCCCAAGCGUUGUUCGGAUUCACUGGGCGUAAAGGGUGCGUAGGCGGUGAGGUAAGUCUGACGUGAAAUCUCCAGCUCAACUUGGAACUGCGUUGGAUACUAUCUCGCUAGAGGAAUGGAGGGGAGACUGGAAUACUUGGUGUAGCAGUGAAAUGCGUAGAUAUCAAGUGGAACACCAGUGGCGAAGGCGAGUCUCUGGACAUUUCCUGACGCUGAGGCACGAAAGCCAGGGGAGCGAAACGGG